rnacentral:rRNA from 1 species
CGGCAACAGCUCAAAUUUGAAAUCUGGCUUAGGCCCGAGUUGUAAUUUGCAGAGGAAGCUUUUGGCGCGGCGCCCCUCCGAGUUCCCUGGAAUGGGACGCCAUAGAGGGUGAGAGCCCCGUACGGUUGGGUGCCAGGCCUCUGUAAAGCUCCUUCGAC